GGGGAUAUGGUGGAAUUGGUAUACACACACGUUUGAGGGGCGUGGCCCUUGUGGCAUGAGGGUUCGAGUCCCUCUAUCCCCACCA
rnacentral:tRNA from 1 species